UACGUAGGUGGCAAGCGUUGUCCGGAUUUACUGGGCGUAAAGCGCACGUAGGCGGAUUUGCCAGUCAGGGGUGAAAUCCCACGGCUCAACCGUGGAAGUGCCUUUGAUACUGCGGGCCUUGAGGGAGGUAGGGGCGUGCGGAACUUCCGGUGGAGCGGUGAAAUGCGUAGAUAUCGGAAGGAACACCGGUGGCGAAAGCGGCGCGCUGGACCUCUUCUGACGCUGAGGCGCGAAAGCGUGGGGAGCAAACAGG
rnacentral:rRNA from 1 species